rnacentral:tRNA from 1 species
AAAAGAUUUAAGUUACAAGACUAAAAGCCUUCAAAGCCUAAAGCAGGAGUUAAAUUCCCCUAAUCUUUGAU